AUUCUAUUUAAAAAAAGUAGUAUAACGCUCAAUUCGCAAUUGUACACGCAAACACUUUCUUAAAUAUGUCUUAUUAAUUAUUGCUAAAAUGAAAUGAGAAUCGUUACCAAGUCA